CCAAAUGCAAUGAUGGAGAGUAGUACAUAAAAGCUCGCCGGUAAAGGGAGGAAGCAUCUUGACUGAAAGUGUUUCUACGGUUGAAUUUAUCGAAUUCGCUCCUGAGCAGUCGCCUGAACGAAUUGUCAGUAGGGUGAACCGGAUCCAGUCCGUUAUGGAAAUGAAGUGAACAAGAACAAGAGGCGCUUUGCCUUUUUCUCUUGAUUAAUUUGGGUGGUACCGCGAAUCCUCGUCCCUUUU
rnacentral:ncRNA from 1 species